UUGCACACGCCUGAAUUUCUCUUCAGUUUCAGUUCACGGAUCUGAAAAUUGACUUGAAGUAAUGGCAAAAUCACAGUGUCCUUAUCAUGUCCAUUGCCUCGAACAGCUGCAGUUGUUCGGUUGACAAAUCGACUUGUUUAAAUUAGUUGAUUCAUAAUAACUUGUUAUACAAAAUACACACUGAAAUUACAAAAUCUUGAUAAAGCAAGCAACACACAAACCACCCCCUCAUACUCGCCUGAUACACUCGUAGUACAUGACUGUUAUUCUGAACCCUCAAUUCUGUAAUGCACAUAGUAAAACGGAGCAGCGAAUGGCGGAGCACCAAACAAUUCCCACGCAUGCAACGCAUCAUAAAUAGCAACGACGUCGAUCACUCACUGACCAUGAACCGGCCGGUGAUAGAUUUCAGUGCCGGGCUGGACGUACGGUGGCUGAUCUGAGACUCUGAGUCAGUGGUGUCCGUGGUAUCCACCGUCGCCGCCGCCGGCGUAGGCGGGCGUGGGAGGGACAGGGUGGUAGUCCGGGUGGGGCUGCGGCUUGGGCUCCGGCUUGGGCACGGGGCCGUAGUCCGGGUGGGGCUGGGGCUUGGGCUCCGGCUUGGGCGGCACGGGCUUCUUAUGGUGGAAGUGCUCAAUGAUGUGCUUCUUGAUCGGCCCGCACAGGGUCAUGGACGCGCACUCGGGCGACGCCGCGGACGACGUGGCGGUGUUCUCGCCGGCGACGACGCCGUAGGUUGUGCCGUCAGACACCGGCACGAUCUUGGACGGCUCCUGGCCGGGGCACGGCGCGUUGGAGGCGGCGCUGUGGAGCUGAGCGACGCAGUCGGCGCCAUGAAGGUCAGAAGCGAGGGGCACGCUGAAGGCGCCGGUGCCGUCGAGGGCGCCCACGGCCUUGCUCUCGUACUCGCCGGCGCUGUUCUUGCACUUGAUCGCCACCUGCAGAGCCUUGAAGGCUUCCUCGGCCUUCAUGUUCUUCCUGGUGCAGUCGGCGCAUUUGGCCAGGCCGACGACCACGGACGCCGCCUCCGCAUUGGCGACGGCGAUGGCCAGCAGGACGCAGAGGGCGAGUGCUCUCGGAGCCGCCAUGCUUGAACCUCUGGAUCGAACUACUGCCACUUGCUGGUGUGAAGUGGCUGCUCGAUCGAUGGAUGGACGAGUGGAUGGAACAGGCGACGCAUGGCUUUUAUAGGCCUCUGUAUUGAUCGACACAGCUCGAAUGCUCAACUGGCCGAUCUGUCUGCAAGCGCAGAAGAAGAAGGGUGGCCGGCGGGCGCAGUGAAGCGAGACAACGAGAGAUGAGCUAAUUCGCUUUCGGCGCGCCGAAGUUCCCGAUGGCGAAUUAAUACCGAUCGUCGUUUAGAUCCACGUCAUUGUUCAGCUGGUGAUUUAUUUAAAAUAUACAAACAGGUCACGAAUAUAAAAAUACAUUAAUAUUGCAAAGAUAGCAGUUGCAUCCAGCCUCUGCAACAACGUCAUGACGUAAAGACAUUACGGAUGCAUACAACCUAAAGAUAAAAAGAAGAAGAAGGAAAAAAGAAAGAUCCUGCUAAAGUGAUUAAUUCUUUGUAGCUGCAGCACUGAUCAUCACCUAGACAACAUCUGAAGUCCAAAUUCUUCAAAAGCGACGCCUCCAAGAAGAAAAUACUGCACAAACACCGUCAUCGCUCGAUCCUAGAUUUUAGGUUUUCACCCUGGAGAAGAUCUGCGCUGUCAAAACAAUGCCUUCAACAAAGUUAUUGGAAGGCACAACCAAUUAAGUUCAGGCCUUGGAUUUUCACCAGCAGAAUGCCAUCUUAGAGAAAAGAAGAAUGAAGGACCGCACCACCGUUCGGUUCCCUACAGUAGGCCGGAGAUCUCGAUGGGCACCGCCGCCACUACCCGCACCAUGUGAAGAUGAGUAGCUGUGCCGCGCCGAGCCCCCGAACCAGUCACCGUGCCGACCUCGCGGUCACAGCAACAGCCAAGGUUGCUGAUGAAAUUCGGCCAUUGUUGGGAACCUCGACCACCUGCUCAUGCCGUUGCUGUAUCCGUCACGAAUGUAUCCUAGCUAGCAAACAUCUUUGUCGUGGAUGCUUCAAUCGCAUCCAAGAUUCUUUUUUCCACAUAUCUCAAUAUAUAUAAGCUCUCACGAACAGGAAUACAACUAUCAUCUGAACUGCAGAACAAAAUACGUACGGUUGCAACCGCAUUAUUAUAUUCAAGGUUUGAGAGGUUUUUAUGUUAUUAUGCCACCUAGCUCUGGUGCUCAAAUCCUUCUAGCUCUGAUUUGGUUGUAAGGGCAUCACCAACGCGAAUCCCGCCUGCAUAAGUCCGGACCAUAUUGUGGCAGCCAACGCUGUUCUGUAUCUAUUCGCUCCACGGUUCAGACGCACUUUUUCUCGUUAACUGGAGACAAAGUGUGGUGGCUUUGAGGGUGUCCGAAUCGCUGUCACGUCCGCUUCUGACCGCCAUGGCCCACCCAAAUCCCUCCCCUUGCGCACGCGUGCGCUUCUCGCCCGAAAUAGUCAGCGCUGCUCCAGAGCGUCAGUACCGCAUUCAUGCCCGGUUAGAGCGGACACAACCUCUCACUAGCGCCGUCAUUGAAGCGACACCGGCUGAGAGAGCGCCGCUGAUACGUCUCCGUCGUAUCUACUUUUCCAAACACUUUUGCCCUUGUUUUGGACUCUAACUUGCAUAAUUUGAAUGGAACUAACCCGGACUGACGCUGUUUUCAGCAGACUUUCCAUGGUGUUUUUUAUGUGCAGAAACAAAAGUUCUCGGAAUGACCUGAAACUCCACGGAACAUCUAUUUGGAAAAUAAGAAAAAUACUGGAAGAAAAAUCCACGUCAGGGGCCCCACACCCUGUCCACGAGGGUGGAGGGCGCGCCCCCUGCCUCGUGGGCCCCCUGACGCUCCACCGACCUCAACUCCAACUCCAUAUAUUCACUUUCGGGGAGAGAAAAAUCAGAGAGAAGGAUUCAUCGCGUUUUACGAUACGGAGCCGCCGCCAAGCCCUAAAACCUCUCGGGAGGGCUGAUCUGGAGGCCGUUCGGGGCUCCGGAGAGGGGGAUUCGUCGCCGUCGUCAUCAUCAACCAUCCCCCAUCACCAAUUUCAUGAUGCUCACCGCCAUGUGUGAGUAAUUCCAUCGUAGGCUUGCUGGACGGUGAUGGGUUGGAUGAGAUCUAUCAUGUAAUCGAGUUAGUUUUGUUAGGGUUUGAUCCCUAGUAUCCACUAUGUUCUGAGAUUGAUGUUGCUAUGACUUUGCUAUGCUUAAUGCUUGUCACUAGGGCCCGAGUGCCAUGAUUUCAGAUCUGAACCUAUUAUGUUUUCAUGAAUAUAUGUGAGUUCUUUAUCCUAUCUUGCAAGUCUAUAGUCACCUACUAUGUGUUAUGAUCCGGCAACCCCGAAGUGACAAUAAUCGGGACCACUCCCGGUGAUGACCGUAGUUUGAGGAGUUCAUGUAUUCACUAUGUGCUAAUGCUUUGUUCCGGUACUCUAUUAAAAGGAGGCCUUAAUAUCCCUUAGUUUCCAUUAGGACCCCGCUGCCACGGGAGGGUAGGACAAAAGAUGUCAUGCAAGUUCUUUUCCAUAAGCACGUAUGACUAUAUUCGGAAUACAUGCCUACAUACAUUGAUGAAUUGGAGUUAGUUCUGUGUCACCCUAUGUUAUGAUUGUUACAUGAUGAACCGCAUCCGGCAUAAUUCUCCAUCACCGAUCCAAUGCCUACGAGCUUUUCACGUACUGUUCUUUGCUUAUUUACUUUGCUACUAAAUACUUUGCUGCAGAUAUUAAGUUAUCCAGGUGUGGCUGAAUUGACAACUCAGUUGCUAAUACUUGAGAAUAUUCUUUGGCUCCCCUUGUGUCGAAUCAAUAAAUUUGGGAUGAAUACUCUACCCUCGAAAACUAUUGCGAUCCCCUAUACUUGUGGGUUAUCAAGACUAUUUUCUGGCGCCGUUGCUGGGGAGCAUAGCUCUAUUCUUUGAGUCACUUGGGAUUUAUAUCUGCUGGUCACUAUGAAGAAUUUGAAAGACGCUAAGACAACAAUUUAUCCCUCAACUACGAGGGGAGGUAAGGAACUGCCAUCUAGCUCUGCACUUGAUUCACCUUCUGUUUUGAGUAAGCUUGCGACACCUAAACCUGCUUCUGCUAUUCGUUCUGAUAUGUCACAUGUUAUUGAUGAUGCCACUUCUGCUAUGCAUGAUACUUAUGAUGAAACUACUUCUAUGCUUGAUACUACUGUGCCACUUGGUGAAUUUCUGGAUGAACAACUUGCUAGGGCUAGAGAGACUGAAAUUAUUGAUAAUAUUUAUGAAAGUGAUGAUGAAGACUCUUCCCCUAAUAAGUAUGAAUUACCUGUUGUGCCUGAGGGCUAUGUUAUGGAUGAAGCAAUUGCUAACGAAAUUUUUGCCUGCAAAGAUAGAUAUGAUGUUAAGAAAUUAUUAGCUAAAUGGAAGCAGCAAUCUCUUAAUGCUAGAAUGAAACCUGACCCUGAUUUUGCUACUUCACCUAUCUGUGUUACUGAUAAGGAUUAUGAAUUCUCUGUUGAUCCUGAUAUAGUUACUUUGGUUGAAUCUGAUCCUUUUUAUGGCUAUGAAUCUGAAACUGUUGUGGCACAUCUUGCUAAAUUAAAUGAUAUAGCCACCCUGUUCACUAAUGAUGAGAGAACCCGCUACCUUUAUAUCCUUAAAAUAUUUCCGUUCUCAUUAAAGGGUGAUGCUAAGAUAUGGUUUAAUUCUCUUGAUCCUGGUUGUGUGCGUAGUCCCCAGGAUAUGAUUUAUUACUUCUCUGCUAAAUAUUUCCCUGCUCAUAAGAAACAAGCUGCUUUAAGGAAAAUAUAUAAUUUUGUGCAAAUUGAAGAAGAGAGUCUCCCACAAGCUUGGGGGAGGCUUCUCCAAUUACUUAAUGCUUUGCCUAAUCAUCCUCUUAAGAAAAAUGAAAUACUUGAUAUCUUUUAUAAUGGAUUAACCGAUGCUUCCAGAGAUUACCUGGAUAGUUGUGCUGGUUCUGUUUUCAGGGAAAGAACACCAGAUGAAGCUGAAAUUCUAUUGAAUAAUAUGUUGACAAAUGAAAAUAAUUGGACACUUCCUGAGCCAGUUUCUGAGCCUAUUCCUAAACCAACUCCGAAGAAGAGAGGUGUUCUAUUUCUCAGUCCUGAAGAUAUGCAAGAGGCAAAGAAAUCUAUGAAAGAAAAGGGUAUUAAAGCUGAAGAUGUUAAGAAUUUACCUCCUAUUGAAAAAAAUACAUGGUCUUAAUUUACCGCCUGUUGAAGAAACAUAUGAUCCUAAUCCAUUACCUAUUGAAGAAGCUCAUGGUCUUGAUAACCCGACACGGGUAGUAAAGGUGAAUUCUCUCUAUAGAUAUGAUAAAGCUGAAAUCCCUCCUACUAAGUUUGCUAGCCAAUAUUUGGAUGAGUUUGAUAACUUUAUGGUUAGGCAAGAAGAUUUUAAUGCUUAUUUUGGUAGACAAUUAAAAAAAAAAUGCUUAUAUGAUUGAACACUUGGGUGAUCAUAUGUCUAGAGUUAAAGGUGAACUUAAACUCAUUAGUAAACAUGCUUCUAUGGUUACCACUCAAGUAGAACAAGUACUUAAAGCUCAAAAUGAUUUGCUCAAUGAAUUGAAUAGUAAGAAUAAUGAUUAUGCUGUUAGAGUGGCUACUAGAACUGGUAAAAUGACUCAGGAACCUUUGUAUCCUGAAGGCCACCUUAAGAGAAUUGAGCAAGAUUCUCAGAGAAAUAAUAUUGAUGCACCUAGCCCUUCUAAAAGGAAGAAAAAGAAAAAUGAUAGGACUUUGCAUGCUUCUAGUAAACCUAUUCCUGAACCACCUGAGAAUCCAAAUGAUAUUUCUAUUUCUGAUGCUGAAACACAAUCUGGUAAUGAACAUGAAACUAGUGAUAAUGUUAAUAAUGAUGUUCAUGUUGAUGCUCAACCUAGCAAUGACAAUGAUAUAGAAAUUGAACCUGCUGUUGAUCUUGAUAACCCACAAUCAAGGAAUCAACGUUAUGAUAAGAGAGAUUUUGUUGCUAGGAAGCACGGUAAAGAAAGAGAACCAUGGGUUCAGAAACCCAUGCCUUUUCCUCCCAAACCAUCCAAGAAAAAGGAUGAAGAGGAUUUUGAGCGCUUUGCUAAAAUGAUUAGACCUAUCUUUCUACGUAUGCGAUUAACUGAUAUGCUCAAAAUGAAUCCUUACGCUAAGUAUAUGAAAGAAAUUGUCACUAAUAAAAGAAAGAUACCGGAAGCUGAAAUUUCCACCAUGCUUGCUAAUUAUACUUUUAAGGGUGGAAUACCUAAGAAACUUGGAGAUUCAGGAGUUCCUACUAUAUCAUGCUCCAUUAAAAGAAACUAUGUUAAAACUGCUUUAUGUGAUCUUGGAGCCGGUGUUAGUGUCAUGCCUCUCUCUUUAUAUCGUAGACUUGACUUGAAUAAGUUGACACCUACUGAAAUAUCUUUGCAAAUGGCUAAUUGUGACACCCAAGUUUUUAUUUGGAUUUUUCAAAAGAUUUUUAUUUGACUUGAGGGGAGUGAUUUAAUUUUUUUUUCUUCAAGAGAACUCCCCCUCUCAUAUAUUUUUCUUUAUGGCAGAAGUUUUAUUUGGAUUCAACCAAGAUCUGUUUUUGGUCUUGGAGGCUCUUGCCUUUCAUUUGGACUCAAGGCAAAAUGUUUAAUGUCUUUCAUUUGGGAAAAUAACUUUUGAAAAUCUUUUUGGGAAAUGCACUAUGGCUUUUGGAAAACUCCUUUGCCACUUUCCACAAUUCCUUCUUGCCAUAGCCUUAGUGCAAAUGCUCUCUCCUAACUCCUCCCUCACCUUUGGAUCAGGUUUUGCAUCUAAUCCAGCAAGUUGAACCUCCCCAUGUGAUCAUUUCCAUUUAAAUUCUAUUCAAAUAAUUUUCUGCCUCCUUUUCUAGCACUUGGGGAUUUACAAAGGAACUCCACUUUCUGUCUUGAUUUUUGCCACCAAACCUUUUUCCCUCCUAGUCCUUUGAACCCUCAACCUAGAACCAUGAAGAUCCACUGGUCUCCAGUUUAAAAUUUUCAAACUACACCUGCUGCAAGUUUGGACCAGAUUUGCCAAAUUUGGCAAAAUUCAUUCAAAACUCUCCCCAAAAAUUCCAAGUAAAAUCAUGCAGCCUCUGGGUGCAUUGAGUGGUCAUCUCACCAAGUUACAGCUCCAGAAAAAUUCAUCUCAUUGCAAAAUCCUUCUGUCGAACACCUGCAGUGCACUGUCUAUGUCAAGUUCAGAAAGUUCAGACAACACUGCAGUGGCUGCUGUCGUUUUCUUCAGAGGAGGACGUCGAUCUCGCCAGUGCCACCGCGUCGCCUUGCUCCUCGUCCCCGCCCUCUUGUUCCUGCACCGCACGAACGCCUGGCACCUUGCGGGCGUCGGCGACGAGCAGCAGAAGGUGCGCCGCCCUGUGACCGACGCCGGCGGCGGCUUUGCGGACGCCAGCGGGAGACACGGCACCGACGACGCCACCCAGCGCCGCCCAAACCACCGGAGCCCGCCGAGUGGCCUUCCACUCCCCCAAAUGCGCUGCCGCUCUCGUCGUGAACCGCAGGGCGUGGAGCGCGCUCUCUGCCGCCGUUGAGCCCGUGCGGUCACCUCACCGUGGACCGACGCCAUUACGCCGAGACCAGCCCCGUUUAGCUGUGGAACGACUCCAGUAACCUCCACUGAUGCUGCCUGGCCGCUCAAACCACCUGCCAAUCCACUGCUCCGCCGUAAUCGCUCGCCGGAGAUUCUCCGUUCACGGCCACCCCGUCGAUCUGCCUAUAAAUAGAGGCCCCGAGCUUCAACUCGAGCACCCACCAUCCCUGCACUUCCCCUAGAGCACGCCUAGCCACUGGAAGAACCCCGAGGAGGUCUCCUUCCUCGACUCCGGCCGCCGCGACCCGCCACGGGAUCCAGCCCGAUUCGCCCCCGUGUGUGCUCCUCCGCCUCCAUUCUCUUGCCAGUAGCUUCACCUGGCACCCCUCAUUCUGACCCGCGCCUCAAUUCGUAAUUUGCAGCCCUACACCGGAGUUCCCCAUCCUCACCCGAGCCGCCGUCCGCCGGAGAUAGUGUCGCCGUCGACGUGGUGCUCCCCGUUGGACGAGUCCACCACCCACCGACGCGGAAGAAGACGCUGAAGCUCUUGGUACCCUCCGUUUCUCCUAACUCGCCGUGGUUCGACGCCGGCGUCCACCGCAGUCUUCGGGCGCCGGCGAGCUUUUUAAACCUGACAGGUGGACCCCGCCUGUCAGCCUCUAUUCUUUUCUCCUCCGAACCGUUUUCUGUUGACGCCUUCGGGCAAAUACGCUUUCUCCCUUGCGCUUGCGCAUUCCCAGCCGAAGCGUUUUUUGUUUUCUCAGUUAAAACCCUGGAACUUUUCUGUUUCAUUACAAAAAGAUCCCUAGACAGAAACCUUUAUAACUUUUUAAUAAAAAGGUAUUUUUGGGUGAUUCUUUUUCUGACAAUCUUCAAAUUUUGUCUAGUUUUUUAUGGGAUUUAUCUGAAAAAUAUUUGGCAAAGUUUCUGUGCAUGUGUUGGUUUUCACGUUAGUAUCCGUUUGGUGAUUGCCGUAGGUUCCGGGAGAGGUGACGGAGCCGCGAACUUCGCCGAGCUAGACUUCGACUUCUCCGAACCAGGAAAGCAUGUUUUGAAAAUUUGAGAUGACAGGUGUUUUGCAUGUUUGCGUGAAAGUUGGUGCGUGGCAUAUGAGUGUCGGUAAAUACCUCGUUGCUUGUAAGGCAACUACCCGGUUGUUCCAAAGUCGUGAUGAUCUCUGAUGAGAGAUGGCCUAAUCAUGUGGUGACAUGAAGGGCAGCAAGGGGGUACUGUUGUAGCAUGCCAGCCUUGCGUCAUCCGACUUUCUCCGACGUUAACGUGGUUGGAGCCACGUUAUCGUUCUUCCUUUUUUUUUGCAUGUUCCAAAGUUGCGAUGAUCUCUGAUGAGAGAUGGCCAAAUCAUGUGGUGACAUGAAGGGCAGCAAGGUGGUACUGUUGUAGCAUGCCAGCCUUGCGUCAUCCGACUUUCUCCGACGUUAAUGUGGUUGGAGCCGCGUUACCGUUCCUUCCCCCUUCCGUGCUACCACAUGUCUCAUUGCCAGGGAUGCGGUUUAGUAAGUUGGUAACCUCUUUCCGUGUACACACCAAACAAAGAGGCCGGGAUGAUGGUACCUUGGCCCAGGAUUAAUGCCAGUCAUCCGGUCAGGGGGCAUGGGUGUUUCCGGUUGGGACCGAGAGGGGGGGCACCCCCUUAAAGCGCGCGUAUAGAAAUUUGAUCCCAUGCUACGCGAGGUUGUAGCCUCCCCGUCUCAAGGUUUUUCUUGAACGAUGCUUAGGGUGAUCCCUGGCUUCGGAUGGUUGAAUUGGGUGUGUACUGGUUAGACGUGUUUCUUCCAAAACACCGUAGACGGAACUAGUCCCCGUGACUACUGAAAUCCAUUGGCUGUGGUUAAGUACAAACUCUGCAGAGUCAAUUCUUUCCAAAUCAUCGUAUCCCUGAUCAAGUAAUUGAAAACAUUAUAUCCAUAUCUAUCCGCGUGGAAAACUUGUUCCCGGCGAGCAAGCUCAGGUGGUAAUCCAGUUUUAUUGUUAUUCCUGUGGAUGGACUAACCCUAUAUUUGUUUCAUGCUCGUGAUAAAUUAUGUUCCCUAACUGUUGUAUUAUUGAGCUGUGAUAUAAGCCCUUUAUGUGACGUCGCGCAGACGUCCGACUGUGGCGUGUUUUUGUUUCUUACAUUAAAUAUAAGCCCUUUAUGUGACGUCGUUCAGACGUCCGACUGUGGCAUGCACCGUCCUUAUUUUCUAUUAUAAGCCCUUUAUGUGGUGUCGCCUCGACGCCCGACUGUGGCAUUAUUAUUUCGCAUUUUCCGCUCGAGGAGUCUUUCAGACACUCGUUUGGCACCAGUAUUAUUAUUCCGCAUUUUCCGCUCGAGGAGUCUUUCAGACACUCGUUUGGCACCAGUAUUAUUAUUCCGCAUUUUCCGCUCGAGGAGUCUUUCAGACACUCGCUUGGCACCAGUAUUACUAUUCUGCAGUUUCCGCUCGAGGCGUCAUUCAGACCCUCGCUUGGCACCCAGCAUUUAUUACCUCUAUGCCUGAAUCGUACUGGUUAACUUAUUCAUGUACUUCAUGUUCGCAUUUGUUAUAUCUUAUGUCCGAACUGUCUUGCGAGUACUUUCAUAGUACUCACCUGGCUUGUUGAUUUGGCCAGAUGUUGAUGAAGGCGAUCUCUUGGAUGAAGAGUUUGAUAGCGCGUCCGAUGCCUAGAGGAGUCCCAGUCAGUCCUGCGCGAUCCCGGUUUUUGGUCACUUGUUUUGUAUACGCUUCCGCCACCCGCAAUAAGUCUUCUCGAGCCUCACUCCGACGCUCGAAGAGCUGUAGUCUUCUGGAAUCAUAUCAGUCGCUUCGCGGUGAUAUCUCCACCACCGUUAUUAUCGUGAGUUAGUAGUUUGCCACCCUAUCCGCCGUAUUGUUUAUCGGCGGGCAUGUAAUAAAUUGUUGGGCAGUCUCUGCUCAACCUUGUAUUAUAUUUAGUACUCCUGGUAUUUUUCUUCUGUGACCAAGAUAAUGUCUACCAGUGAGAAGGAAUUCUUCCUCGCUGGUCCGUAAAAGGGAUUGGUCUCUCAAUAAUUAUUUUAUUGAAAAACCGGUCGUGACACUAAUAAAUCAACUGCUAUACCUGUCGGUAUUUGUGAGGAUGUGCCUGUUGUGGUUGCAAACGUUACUAUUUUAACGGACUUUGUUAUUCUUGAUAUUCCCGAGGACGAUAGUAUGUCUAUUAUUCUUGGAAGACCUUUUUUGAAUACUGCAGGGGCUGUUAUUGAUUGCAACAAAUGCAAUGUCACUUUUCAUGUUAAUGGUAAUGAGCAUACGGUACACUUUCCGAGGAAACAACCUCAAGUUCAUAGUAUCAAUUCUAUUGGAAAAAUUCCAUCAAUUAUUUUUGGAGGUUUCGAAUUUCCUCUUCCGACUGUCAAGAAGAAAUAUGAUAUCCUUAUUAUUGGGGAUGUGCAUAUCCCCGUUGAGGUAACAUAGUGUCAUUCGAAAUUUCUCCGGUUCCAUGUUAUUCGGAAUGAGUUUGUUAACAAGACUUGAUCAACCUUGUUAGUGGAUUCCUUUCGAUGAGCAUGAGAUGGAUGAAACUAGAAGGCACAACCUUCUGUACCCUCCUUUUAUUUUCUGUUAUUUAGUUGAAAUAAAGUAAAAAUAGUAUUUUCUGUCUGUUUUCUGAUUUAUCCGUAAAAUAUAAAAAUACCCCGAAAAUAAAAGUUCUCCAAAUGCCCUGAAAAUGGAAUAUGAUUUUUCUGGAAUAUUUGAGAAUAUCUGGCACUGAGAACACAGCAGGAGGGGCAAGAACCUGGCCACGAGGGUGGAAGGCGCGCCCUACCCCCCUGGGCGCGCCCCCUGCCUCAUGGGCCCACGGUGGCUCCCCUCCACUUAUUCCUGCACCCGCACACUUCUUCUUCCUCCCAAAAAAAUCACUAUCCAGCUCAAGCACGAGUUCUAGCUCACUUUCCUGUGAUUUUUGAUCUCCUUGCUCAAAGCACCUCUCACAAAACUGCUUGGGGAGAUUGUUCCUUGGUAUGUGACUCCUCCAUUGGUCCAAUUAGUUUUUGUUCUGGUGCUUUAUUCAUUGCAAAUUUGUGCUGCCUAGGUGACCAUGUUCUUGAGCUUGCAUGUCAAAUUUAUAUGGUUCCAAGUAGUUCUAAUGCUUGAUAUAGGCUCUAGGCACUUGAAGGAGUAGUUGCUAUCAAUCUUGUUGAGCUUGGUUCACUUUUAUUGAAAGUUACUAAAAAUUUCAGAAUUUUUCAGAAAAUAAUGAAGAGAUUUUUGAGGGGCUCAUCGAGCCGAAGCUCGAAGGAAAAGCAAAGUGAAGAAGCACAGAGGCCCAAAUAUAAUUUGCCUCGCAUCGCGGAGAUCCAGCCGUGUGAAUGGCCUUCCAAUGAUUUCUUGAGAGAAGCCGGGAUUUAUGAUGAUUUUUAUGAAUUGGCUGAGAAUGCAGGCCUCACCGACUUCCUCCGCGACCAACGCAAUCAGUAUCUCUUACUCACCAAUACUUUUGUGCAAAACUUCUACUAUUUUCCUAAGGAAUCACCUCCUUCAGUAGAGUUUCAUUUAUAUGAUGCGGUUAAGAAGAUGCCACUAGAUGAAUUUUGCAAUAUUUGCAAAAUACCUUUUGAGGGUAGUUUAGAUGAACCACAUCGUAAAGAUGUGGAUGGGUUUAUUGACACUAUCACUGUGGGGGAAACCAGGAAGGUUUUCGAUGCAAGAAUCACUAGCAUACAUUUUCCUGUUUUACGCUACUUUGCCAUAUUUGCUAGUCGUUGCUUAAUUAGUCGCGGAAACUGUGGAAACCUUAGUGUUCCUGAUAUUAUUAUUCUGUUCCAUGGUUUAUUCUGCGAUAACACUGUUAGUAUGGGCGGUAUUAUUGCCAAACGGUUAAGUCUGAACCAUACAAAGGGCCCCAUCUUUGGAGGUAUUUAUGCUUCACGCCUUGCUGCACACUAUAACAUACCUAUUAGACACUAUGAAAAAGAAGAAAAAUUGCUGCCCACUGCUUAUUUAGAUUAUAAGAGUAUGGUAGCGCAUGACUUUAUUGUUAAGAAUAGGGAAGGAGCGCUUAAAUACAAAUUGUUCUUUGAUAAACAUCACCCUGAGACUAUUACCUUGCCUGCUCCCUCCUUGUUUAAUUUAUCUGAAGGUCCGUAUCUCGUUCCGUUGGCGGCCAUUCACGCCUACCGGAACCGUACACCAGCCACGGAGCCGGAACCACAAUCUGAACCUCCACGACAGUCUAACAAUUAUUGGGAUCCGGAGAUGAUUUCUAACCAGUGGCAAUCAGAGUCUUCUUCAUCUCAGUACGACCCCGGCUACAACUAUGGAUAUCCGCCAGGCCAUCCGUGGCAAUGAACCAACUUAGGCCAAAAGCCUAAGCUUGGGGGAGUACGUAUUUCUCACCGACAUUACAUUUAUGUUCACACACUCAUUGCUAGAUGUCGGUGCUCAUAAUCUUUCACUGUAAUAUUCAUGCUAGUUUAUUUUCUUUUUCUUGCUUCCUUCUUGUGUGUUUUUUAAACCUUAAGAAAAACAAAACAAAAAUUAGUUAUAGCUUUAAGCUAGUUUACUUUCUUGCUGUAGUAGUAAUAAUUAAAAAGAAAACCCAAAAAAGAUUUCCUUUUCUUCUUUUGCUUGUUGGGAGCUUUCCCGUGUAAAUAGUUUUUUUUCUUUUCUUUUCUUUGGGGGUCGAUAGGAGAAGACCAUAAUUAAAUUGUUGAAGUGGCUCUUAUAUGCAUUAUUGUUGAUUUAACCAAGAGCCCAUAUUGCCUUGUCUUCUCCUGUUUAUUGAAUGCUCGCAGAUUCCAGCUUAGUCCAAUGCACGUGCACUCUUAUUAUUCACGUCAUUCGGUCGUGCAAGUGAAAUGCAAUUAUGAUGAUAUAUGAUGGACUGGCUGAGAUGAGAGAAGCUGGUAUGAACUCGACCUCUCUUGUUUUUGUAAAUAUGAUUAGUUCAUCGUUCCUGAUUCAGCCUAUUAUGAAUAAACAUGUUUGCAAUGACAAUUAGAGAUCAUAGUUGCUUAUGCCAUGCUUGAUUAGCUAUGAGUUAUAAUGGUUUACCUUGCGUGCCAACAUGCUAUUAAAAUGGUUGUGAUGUGGUAUAGUGGGGUGGUAUCCUCCUUUGAAUGAUUUGAGUGACUCGACUUGGCACAUGUUCACACAUGUAGUUGAAACAAAUCAACAUAGUCUUCACGAUAUUUAUGUUCAUGGUGGAUUAUAUCCUACUCAUGCUCGUACUCAAUGUUUAUUAAUUUUAAUGCAUGUUCAUGACUGUUGUCGCUCUGUAGUUGGUCGCUUCCCAAUCUUUUGCUAGCCUUCACUUGUACUAAGCGGGAAUACUGCUUGUGCAUCCAAUCCCUUAAACCCCAAAGUUAUUCCAUAUGAGUCCACUAUACCUUCCUAUAUGCGGUAUUUACCUGCCGUUCCAAGUAAAUUUGUAUGCGCCAAACUCUAAACCUUCAAAUGAAAUUCUGUUUUGUAUGCUCGAAUAGCUCAUGUAUCAACUAGGGCUGUCCGUAUCUUCCAUGCUAGGCGGGUUAUUCUCAAGAGGAGUGGACUCCGCUCCUCACUCACGAGAAAAUGGCUGGUCACCGGGAUGCCCAGUCCCAUGCUUUAUGCAAACUAAAUCAAAAUAAUUGCAAACAAAACUCCCCCUGGGACUGUUGCUAGUUGGAGGCACUCGUUGUUUCGAGCAAGCCAUGGAUUGAUGCUUGUUGGUGAAGGGGGAGUAUAAACUUUACCAUUCUGUUUGGGAACCGCCUAUAAUGUGUGUAGCAUGGAAGAUAUCGCCAUCUCUUGGUUGUUAUGUUGACAAUGAAAGUAUGCCGCUCAAAAUAUUAUUUAUCUCUGCUUUAAAAUCGAGCUCUGGCACCUCUACAAAUCCCUGCUUCCCUCUGCGAAGGGCCUAUCUAUUUACUUUCAUGUUGAGUCAUCACCCACUUAUUAAAAAGCACCAGCUGGAGAGCACCGCUGUCAUUUGCAUUCAUUAUUAUUAAUUUAUAUUGGGUAUGACUAUGACUGGAUCUCUUUUACCAUGAAUUACAAUGUCUAGUCAGUACUUGAUCUUUAAAGGUGCUCUGCAUUUAUGUUUUGAGGUCUCAGAAAGGGCUAGCGAGACACCAUCUUGUUAUAUCAUAUCAUGUUUGUUUUGAGAAAGUGUUGUCAUCCGAGAUUUAUUAUUAUCGCUCGCUAGUUGAUUAUGCCAUUGACAUGAGUAAACAUGAGACCUAAAAGUUAUUGUGAAUGUGGUUAGUCAUAAUCUUUGCUGAAAACUUGAAUGCUGGCUUUACAUAUUUACAACAACAAGAGCAAACAGAGUUUGUAAUUUUUUUUCUUUAUCACUUUCAGUUAAUUAACUGAAUUGCUUGAGGACAAGCAAAGGUUUAAGCUUGGGGGAGUUGAUACGUCUCCGUCGUAUCUAAUUUUCCAAACACUUUUGCCCUUGUUUUGGACUCUAACUUGCAUGAUUUGAAUGGAACUAACCCGGACUGACGCUGUUUUCAGCAGACUUUCCAUGGUGUUAUUUAUGUGCAGAAACAAAAGUUCUCGGAAUGACCUGAAACUCCACGGAACAUCUAUUUAGAAAAUAAGAAAAAUACUGGAAGAAAAAUCCACGUCAGGGGGCCCACACCCUGUCCACGAGGGUGGAGGGCGCGCCCCCCUGCCUCGUGGGCCCCCUGACGCUCCACUGACCUCAACUCCAACUCCAUAUAUUCACUUUCGGGGAGAAAAAAAAUCAGAGAGAAGGAUUCAUCGCGUUUUACGAUACGGAGCCGCCGCCAAGCCCUAAAACCUCUCGGGAGGGCUGAUCUAGAGUCCAUUCGGGGCUCCGGAGAGGGGGAUUCGUCGCCGUCGUCAUCAUCAACCAUCCUCCAUCACCAAUUUCAUGAUGCUCACCGCCGUGCGUGAGUAAUUCCAUCGUAGGCUUGCUGGACGGUGAUGGGUUGGAUGAGAUCUAUCAUGUAAUCGAGUUAGUUUUGUUAGGGUUUGAUCCCUAGUAUCCACUAUGUUCUGAGAUUGAUGUUGCUAUGACUUUGCUAUGCUUAAUGCUUGUCACUAGGGCCCGAGUGCCAUGAUUUCAGAUCUGAACCUAUUAUGUUUUCAUGAAUAUAUGUGAGUUCUUGAUAAUAUCUUGCAAGUCUAUAGUCACCUACUAUGUGUUAUGAUCCGGCAACCCCGAAGUGACAAUAAUCGGGACCACUCCCGGUGAUGACCGUAGUUUGAGGAGUUCAUGUAUUCACUAUGUGCUAAUGCUUUGUUCCGGUACUCUAUUAAAAGGAGGCCUUAAUAUCCCUUAGUUUCCAUUAGGACCCCGCUGCCACGGGAGGGUAGGACAAAAGAUGUCAUGCAAGUUCUUUUCCAUAAGCACGUAUGACUAUAUUCGGAAUACAUGCCUACAUUACAUUGAUGAAUUGGAGCUAGUUCUGUGUCACCCUAUGUUAUGAUUGUUACAUGAUGAACCGCAUCCGGCAUAAUUCUCCAUCACCGAUCCAAUGCCUACGAGCUUUUCACAUACUGUUCUUCGCUUAUUUAUUGUUUCGUUGCUACUGUUACAAUCACUACAAAACACCAAAAAUAUUACUUUUGCUACCGUUACUUCUGUUACCGUUACCACUACUAUCAUACUACUUUGCUACUAAAUACUUUGCCGCAGAUAUUAAGUUAUCCAGGUGUGGCUGAAUUGACAACUCAGUUGCUAAUACUUGAGAAUAUUCUUUGGCUCCCCUUGUGUCGAAUCAAUAAAAUUUGGUUGAAUACUCUACCCUCGAAAACUGUUGCGAUCCCCUAUACUUGUGGGUUAUCAGCCGCCCGCGCUGCUUCCCAGUGCGCGUGACUGCUCUGCGUUCAAAUGACUCCACGGCCGUCCGUCGCCCUACAUUACUGACACGCGAUUGCUGAGGAACCUACUCCGACGUGACCCAUCCGCCUAUCUGCCGCCCACCAUUGCCAUUCUCACGCUAUAUGAACUCCAGUCCCGGCCAUCGCCGUGGUCAUCGUCCUCCGGUCCCUUUCUCCUCUCCGGACCAAUCCCAUCAUGGCCUCCUCGUGCUCCCAAGCUCUCUGGGACGGGCUAUCGCCGGAGCAGAAGAAGGAGAUGGCCGCCAUUGCUGUCGGCUGGCAGGCCACAGGCAGCCCGACACUGAUGACAUCCCAAUGGAGGAUGCCGCCGAGGGUGAGCUGGCGCCACCCUUCUCGCGGUGCAUGUCAGCAUGACCAUCGGCGAGGCCCGUGUCCACUAUAUGGACACGGUGUGGGAGGAGAACGAGGAGCAGUUCUGGGAGGGGCAGGCCGACCAGGCCGACAACCUCCAGCUCCUUAAGGAGCACGGGCAGGCGGAGGAGCAGCUCGCCGCCGGGUGGGCCAUCGCUUCGGACGCGGAUGUGGCGGAGCAGGCGGCGCUGCUCGAGUCCCACUGCUCCGCCUACGAGAUCCACCUCGACCAUUGGCGGUAUCGCAAGCAUCGGGCAGAACCAGAGGCCACCAACAAGGAGAUGGACGAAGUGGCAGACGAGGUGUGGGGGCAAGAGUGACAACGAGGACGACAUCGCCGGCUCCUCCAAGGCCGCGCCCCGCUGGCACGUCAGCGGGUGCCGCCGGCAGCGAGAAAGAGUAGUGCAUAUGGUAGGUCGCUGCCGCUCGGGUCCCAGGAAGGCCACCGCUCUUCCUGUCCGCCUGAAGCCAAGCUUGGCGAGCUUUAAAUUGUCGGCUGAUUAGCCGCUUAAGUUGAGGGGUCGGAGGCUGCGGAGGCAGAGCUGGAGAGCGCCGAGGCGAAAUUGGAGAAGGCGAAGGCAAGUGUCGGAGCUUCAGUUCUCAGGGCUCAUGGUCAGACAUGGGGAACGGGUGCCUGUGAUUAUUUUGAUUACGUUUAGACAAGAUGAUUAGUUGAAGUAUGUCCGGAAUUAUACCUCCGGAGUUGAAUGAGUUCCGCUUUUAGUUGAAGUAUAUCCGAAAUGUAAUGAAUUUCGUCUAGUUUAUAUGAAAUCCACUGUGUUUGCAUGAACCUCUUUCGGUUUAUAUGAGAAUCCGUCAGGUUUGAAUGAAUUUCAUCCGAUUAGUUUGAACCGUGGUUGAAAUGUAUGCGGACAACGUUGGAUUGCGCCCUUCGGUAUCAACAUCCGUGGACUGGUUCUCCGGUUCGCAGAUGGAUGUCGGAGCAAAUUUAGGGAUCAACUUUGAAGAUGCCCUAAGAUUGCUUUCAAAUUAAGCCUGUAACCAGCCAAUCCACGCCGCUAGCUCCUUUGCCAUAUAAAUGCACGGAGGUGCACCGCACGGAGAAAGGGAUCAACAGAUAAUUAACACUACGUACGCUCUGACGACUUUUAUGUAGGCUCCAGGUGAUAAAGAGUACGUACGCACUUAGGCUGAUUCAUGCGUGGCCAUGUGCGGGAGCAGGGAGUGUUUGAGAAAUGGCCAGAAUUUUCGGUAGAAGGCCGGGCCAAAGCUGUCCGGCCCUGGGCUAGCAUUGGUGUUCAUCUGCAUGAAAGAAUCUUUUAUCUCCUGUUCAGAGAAAGGCUCGUCUAAGGAAAGAAGUUGAGGAAUUUGAAGCGGAUAGAAAAGAUUGAUCCCGCCAUCUGAACAGUAUUUAAAGAUCAACAUAGAUGGGGCUCUGAACCUUGAGGCCUUGUUUGGUACUAGUGUAUUUUAGGGAAUUGGUGGGGAUUAUUCCGGUAAACCCCUAAAUCCCCACAUAUCCCAAAACACCGUUUGGUUCUAGUGUAUUUGACAUGUUUCAUCCUCACAUUUCCCCAAAAUCCUCAAACUCUAGUGCAUUUUCUCAGUGCCCAAUACACUACCCCUACUUAAUGGAUUGGGGGUAAAUGGGGAUUUGAAGGGAUCGGGUGAAGGUUGGGGAUUCUCCCAAUCCCUGUGGGGAUUAUCCCCAUCAAUUCCCUCAAAAACCCUAGUACCAAACAAGGCCUGAGGAGCUCAAAACUGAUUUAGGUCGGGUGGCGCGAUCUUCUUCGUCGCUGCUCGGAGCCUGGAGCAAACUUCACCCUGGAGUUUCUGAUCCGUUCAUUGCUGAGUCAAUGGCGCUGCAAGGAGUGCUUUUUGCGAAGCUCCGUGGGUACCAACAUGUGAUUAUGGAGACAUAUUGCCAAGAGUUGGUCAAUCAAUGUACUUGUCGCCGCACCUUGCUUUCGGUUGUGGCACCGAUUUUCUUAGAGAUUGGAGGGCUAGCUUCAUCUUUUUCUUCUUUUGUAUUUCAACAUGUAAUAAGAUCAGACAAUCAGUCGGCUCAUCUUUGCACGAAACAAGCCUGUGCGCUGAUGGUUACCGGAAGUUGGAUGAACUCAGCACCCCCAUUCCUGGCCACUAGCCUCUUGGCUGACGGUCCGGCAAGUUUCUUUGUUGAAUAAAGCUCUCUAAAUUUCCCUAAAGAAAGAAAAGUUUGAUGUUGAAGCGCCAAGAGGUAGCUUUAGAAGAGCCACUAAGAUUGCUGUAGAAGUCUUUGAGGACCAAGGCUUUCUGGUCUUGAGAGAAGAGGUCGACGACGUUGUGCUCAAGAAUGGGAUUUUUUUUUACGAUAGCUCUGGGAAGCACAAACGUGGAAGUAUUUAGUGUUUUCGUCGCUUGCCAUUUUUGACUUGCUUCUAAGUUUCUAAAAAAGGAUUUUUUUUUGUUGAUAGCCCGUUGGAGGGUAGUGAUGACGAUCGAGCGAAGCUUUCUUUCGGCCGGGGCAAGAGUUCGAGAUCUUCGAGGAGGACCAAGAGGUUAAUAACAAUUUUGCAGUCAAUCUCGCGUUGGUGGACAAGCUUAAGCUCUUUUUACCCAAGACUCGCAUAGACAGAGUGCCACCGGCAGUGCCGACGACUGGUAAAGCUACCGUUUGAUUGAGGAACCAUGGGAGGAAAGAGAUUAACUUUUGCACAGGAUAAUAUCAAGUUUAGUUUCUCGGAUUAUGACUAAGUCUGCUUUGAGGUUUAAGAGUUCAGAGAGGACACUCGCGCACUUGUUGUCAUCAUCGAGAUCGCGAACGUUCCAAGUGCAGAUGGAAAGGGAAACACGAUUCAUGGUUUACAAAGCGGACACUGCUUGCAGUGAGAUGUGAGGCCGACGGGUGCCACAUGCGCAGGAAGGGAAACUAGGCAAGCUAAUCAUGCGUGGAAGGGAAAUAUAGGAAAAUAAAAGCAACCUAUGACUAAUGGGGCCGAACAUCCAAAAGCUCCCAACAGUGGCACUUAGCAGAGAGGUGCAUUAUUCAUACGGCAACCAAGAGGUUAGAGUAAUAAUUUGUAACGAGAUCAUGAAAAGGUUAGAGAUAAUGUGGAGCUUCAUUGGGCUAAUGGGGGCCAAUGCCCCCCACCCCCCAACACGUGCGCACACAUGGACACAGCUUCAUUGACUUUGUGAAGUGAAUUAACGCAUCGCCUUAGCCUCAUACACCAGCACCUCGGUCUACAUCCAACGGAUAGGAUUCACUCAAGGCAAAAAGACCCAGCCUUGGUAGUUUUUCAGCUCUCCAGUGACAUGAAUAAAGCAGCAAUGCACUUGACACUCUCCAGCCUAAAAUUGUUUUUAUACGAUAAAUAGAAAGGCAAAGCAGCUUGAGAUGUGAUUUAAAAUCUCGCAAAGCAGCUUUUCCAUCUAUCAUCAACACACCAUUGAUCUUUUCUUUUACUCAACCUUGCUUAUGUUCUCAUCAUCUGCCAAUACGCAAGAGUUAAAAUGAGAAAUAAAGAAACACAAGAGACAACCGGUAAUAAAAAAGUUUAACUAGCACUUAUUUUGUUGUUUAAUCGCACUUUGGCCUUCCCUCAACUGAUUGACUUAGCCGACCUAUAACUUAUGCUGUGUAUAGAUUGACUAAUUAUCGGGUCUACCCUCAGGGCGCCCUAUAACUUAUGUUGGGUGCCAGGGAAGAAAAGAAAGGGAAAGCGGUCUUCUUCAAGCCAAAGGGGAGCCUGGAUAAUUGAAUGAAGGUUCGGACAGAACUCCAAAAUAACAGAUAUCUUCCUACUAGUUUGUUGUUCCGGUUGGGAAAGCAAGAAUUGGGAUAAUCAUUUCAAGUCAAUUUCUCCUAGAUUUCCUUCUUGACUUCCAGUUAGAAAAUCAAUGAAAUAGGAUUUGGAUCCGAGUUUAAUCGCAAAAUUACUUGGCCAAGCCCAUACAUAGCUCACAUUUGAUAGUAAAAUAAACUAGGAAUAUCAGUUUUUUUUGUUCAUUUAACAAAUUUAAUUCUGAAUAUACCAGUAGAAACUCAUACAAGGCUUUCAGGAGUCACUCUUGUAUAUACCAGUAUAAACUCAUACAAGGCUUUAAUAAGAUGAGAAUAUUUAAUGGAACCGAAAUGACAAAAUCUUGACAAAGGAACACACCAAGCACAACCUCACACUCGCCUGACAUAAUGACACACACCCACACAGCUGUUAUUCUGAACUCUCAACUCUGCAAUGCAGAUACUAAAACGGGGCAGCGAAUGACAGAACACCAAACAAUGCGCCCACGCAUGCAAACUGAUCAUGAACCAAGUGAUGAGAUUUCCGUGCUGCGCCAGACGGUGGCAGAUCGGAGUCAGUGGUGUCCGUGGUAUCCACCGCCGCCGCCGCCGCCGUAGGUGGGCGUGGGAGGGACGGGGUGGUAGUCCGGGUGUGGCUGCGGCUUCGGCUCCGGCUUGGGCACGGGGCCGUAGUCCGGGUGGGGCUGGGGCUUGGGCUCCGGCUUGGGCGGCACGGACUUCUUGUGAUGGAAGUGCUCGAUGAUGUGCUUCUUGAUCGGCCCGCACAGGGUCAUGGAUGCGCACUCGGGCGACGCCGCGGACGACAUGGCGGUGUUCUCGCCAGCGACGACGCCGUAGGUUGUGCCGUCAGACACCGGCACGAUCGUGGACGGCUCCUGGCUGGGGCACGGCACGUUGGAGGCGGCGCUGUGGAGCUGAGCGACGCAGUCGGCGCCAUGGAGGUCAGAAGCGAGGGGCACGCUGAAGGCGCCGGUGCCGUCGAGGGCGCCCACGGCCUUGCUCUCGUACUCGCCGGUGCUGUUCUUGCACUUGAUCGCCACCUGCAGAGCCUUGAAGGCUUC
rnacentral:lncRNA from 1 species